CCAUGCAUGAAUCCAACGGGGUGAACCUGUCUGGAGAUGUAGCGUGUGGGUAUUCUCAUGGCAGAGUAGUGUAAGGUUCUAAGUUUGCAUGAUUGCGACUUUCCGUAGAGGGUGUAAGGCCCGUAAGGACUGCCACUACUUUGCUAGAGAAGGCCUAAGAGUCGGGUUGCUUGAGAAUGCAGCUCUAAUCAGGUGGUAAACUCCAUCUAAGGCUAAAUAUAACACGAUUCCGAUAGCAAACAAGUACCGUGAGGGAAAGUUGAAAAGGACUUUGAAGAGAAAGUUAAAUAGUACGUGAAAUUGCUCAGAGGUAAGCGGAUGUAGCCGAAAGGGAGGUGGUAGUGAUGGUAAUUAUUAUGGGAAUGUAAGCAGUUAGAUAUCAUUAACGAGUCAACUGUUUAUUUUUCUUGUAUACUUGCCUGAUGCUCCAUCUUUAUACCACAAGUGGAGACUGAUAUUGUUGUGUUUUGGCAAGGUAGCGUGAGCCUUCUUGGUUUGCGUGUUAUAUGCUGAUGUCACUCUAUUGAUGUUUUCAUACGCGGUCCGUCUAUAUGCACCUUAUGGAUCCGUUGUUUUCUUGAUGAUGGACUCUUAUGAGUCCUAGUCAUGAUGAUUUCGGUGAAGUGAGCUCUGUUUAUGGAGUAGACUUUGUGGUUCCAAAAGUAGGUCAUAUAUCCGACCCGUCUUGAAACACGGACCAAGGAGUUUAGUUUGUACGCAAGUCGUAGGGCUUCAAACCCCGAAGGCGAAGUGAAAGUAAAGGGUACAUUACGUACCUGAGGUGUGAUCUGUAAUCUACGGAGAGCAGCGCAACACCGACUCGUCCUUGACUUUUUAAGUUGGGCGACGUAAGAGCGUACAGACUGAGACCCGAAAGAUGGUGAUCUAUGCUUGUGUAGGCUGAAGCCAGAGGAAACUCUGGUGGAGGGCCGCAGCGGUUCUGACGUGCAAAUCGAUCGUCAAACAUGAGUAUAGGGGCGAAAGACUAAUCGAACCAUCUAGUAGCUGGUUCCCUCUGAAGUUUCCCUCAGGAUAGCUGGCGCUCGGGAAACAAAAAGUUUUAUCCGGUAAAGCGAACAUUUAGACGUAAUGGGUUCGAAACGAUCUCAACGUAUUCGUGAACUUUUAAUGGGUGAGAUGUCAUGCUAGCUUUAUUUGUAGCUUGACAUUGAAUUUGAGUGCCUAGUGGGCCAAUUUUGGUAAGCAGAACUGGCGCUGCGGGAUGAACCGAACGUGUGGUUAAGGUGCCAAACACGACGCUCAUGAGACACCACAAAAGGUGUUGGUUGAUAU
rnacentral:rRNA from 1 species